UAUUGGACAAUGGGGGAAACCCUGAUCCAGCCAUGCCGCGUGUGUGAAGAAGGCCUUUUGGUUGUAAAGCACUUUACGCAGUGAAGAAGACUCCGUGGUUAAUACCCACGGACGAUGACAUUAGCUGCUGAAUAAGCACCGCCUAACUCUUUGCCAGCAGCCGCGGUAAAACAGGGGGUGCAAGCGUUAAUCGGAAUUACUGGGCGUAAAGGGAGCGUAGGUGGCUCUAUAAGUCAGAUGUGAAAUCCCCGGGCUUAACCUGGGAACUGCAUCUGAUACUGUUAGGCUAGAGUAGGUGAGAGGGAGGUAGAAUUUCAGGUGUAGCGGUGAAAUGCGUAGAGAUCUGAAGGAAUACCGAUGGCGAAGGCAGCCUCCUGGCAUCAUACUGACACUGAGGUUCGAAAGCGUGGGUAGCAAACA
rnacentral:rRNA from 1 species